rnacentral:lncRNA from 1 species
CCUUGCCUAGGGACCACAUGAGGGCCCCGUAGACCCGCAUCAGCUGCUGCGUGUCCACUUGGUCGGCCUUGUUCAGCACGACACGGAUCUUGUCGUCCUGGCCCCGGAAGGCCUUGAUGGCCUCUGAGAAUUCAUCUGAGAUGUCCAGCUUGUGAGCGUCAAAGAGCAGGAUGAUCCUGUCCACCCUCUCGGCAAACCACUGCAGGACCUGGCAGAAGUCAUAGCCUG